rnacentral:rRNA from 1 species
UAGGGAAUCUUCCACAAUGGACGCAAGUCUGAUGGAGCAACGCCGCGUGAGUGAAGAAGGUUUUCGGAUCGUAAAGCUCUGUUGUUGGUGAAGAAGGAUAGAGGCAGUAACUGGACUUUAUUUGACGGUAAUCAACCAGAAAGUCACGGCUAACUACGUGCCAGCAGCCGCGGUAAUACGUAGGUGGCAAGCGUUGUCCGGAUUUAUUGGGCGUAAAGCGAGCGCAGGCGGAAUGAUAAGUCUGAUGUGAAAGCCCACGGCUCAACCGUGGAACUGCAUCGGAAACUGUCAUUCUUGAGUGCAGAAGAGGAGAGUGGAACUCCAUGUGUAGCGGUGGAAUGCGUAGAUAUAUGGAAGAACACCAGUGGCGAAGGCGGCUCUCUGGUCUGCAACUGACGCUGAGGCUCGAAAGCAUGGGUAGCGAACAGGAUUAGAUACCCUGGUAGUCCAUGCCGUAAACGAUGAGCGCUAGGUGUUGGGGACUUUCCGGUCCUCAGUGCCGCAGCAAACGCAUUAAGCGCUCCGCCU